GGGAAUUUUCCGCAAUGGGCGAAAGCCUGACGGAGCAAUGCCGCGUGGAGGUGGAAGGCCUACGGGUCGUCAACUUCUUUUCUCGGAGAAGAAACAAUGACGGUAUCUGAGGAAUAAGCAUCGGCUAACUCUGUGCCAG
rnacentral:rRNA from 1 species